UACGUAGGGGCAAGCGUUGUCCGGAAUCAUUGGGCGUAAGAGCGUGUAGGCGGCUCGAUAAGUCCGCUCUGAAAGCCCGGGGCUCAACCCCGGGAGGCGGGCGGAUACUGUCGAGCUAGAGUCCGGAAGAGGCGAGUGGAAUUCCUGGUGUAGCGGUGAAAUGCGCAGAUAUCAGGAGGAACACCAGUGGCGAAGGCAGCUCGCUGGGACGGUACUGACGCUGAGACGCGAAAGCGUGGGGAGCAAACAGG
rnacentral:rRNA from 1 species